rnacentral:rRNA from 1 species
GACGAACGCUGGCGGCGUGCUUAACACAUGCAAGUCGAACGGUGAAGGUGGAGCUUGCUCCGCCGGAUCAGUGGCGAACGGGUGAGUAACACGUGGGCAACCUGCCCCUAACUUUGGGAUAACUACUCGAAAGAGUAGCUAAUACCGGAUAUGAAGUCUGUAGGCAUCUAUGGAUUUGGAAAGUUUUUCGGUUAGGGUUGGGCCCGCGGCCUAUCAGCUGGUGGGUGAGGUAGGGGCUCACCAAGGCGAAGACGGGUAGCCGGCCUGAGAGGGCUACCGGCCACCCGGGGAGUGAGACACGGCGAAGACUCCUACGGGAGGCAGCAGUGGGGAAUAUUGCGCAAUGGGCGAAAGCCUGACGCAGCAACGCCGCGUGCGGGAUGAAGGCCUUCGGGUUGUAAACCGCUUUCAGCAGGGAAGAAGCGAAAGUGACGGUACCUGCAGAAGAAGCACCGGCUAACUACGUGCCAGCAGCCGCAGUAA